GACUGUUUUCAAGCAUAAAGUGAUCCAGCAGAGCAAGACUCUCCCUACCUCAACCGACCUUGAAGAAGUGAUCUACUGUGCUGAAGGAGCUUCAAGUGAGGAGGAACUGGAUGAGACCCUUACCUCUGGCUGGGACAGUGAUCUUGCUUCCAUCAUUCUCCUGUUCCACCUGAUUCCUCCUUCCUGUCAGGGUUACAAAAGACGUGGGAAGGUUUCUCCAUCCCAGGAUGAGGAGCACCAUGUGGUCUUCCAGAAGGUUUGUAAUAGUGGAACAAGUGUCCAGGAACAUGCUGAUGCCAUGAACUCCACUACGCAGCCCUACCCACUUGCUGUUGGGACAAAGAGGAGCACCAUUCAUGAGUUCUUCAUUGUUCUGGACAAGCAGGUCGUACCAUGCAAGUCAGCCAGCUCACUUGGAGCUUUUGAUGAAAUUUUUCACUUCGUAUUUGGAACUGUUUAUAAUCAAAUGCUCCACAACAUGUACGUCUUGGAACUUGGAGAGUUAAAGGAAGGUGCUGAAAUUGCUUCAGAACUUUGUAGUGAACACUCUCUCUCUCCAUGUCAAACACAAAAUUACUUUCAACUGGGGCUACAGAAUUUCAUCGGCAACAACAUAUUCCUAAUUGGUCACUGGUAAUCUAAAGAUCUAAUUUGAAAA